GUUACGAACGGGGCUCAUAACAUGUAGCACAACUUCUUUUAGGAAACCUAGGACAGUGUCGGUAUCAAAGAGCGGUUCUGCACCGAGUAACAUAACAGGAUGAAGGGGGAUGUGCUGCCGGUAUGCUAAAGGAAAAUGUUUCUUUCUUUCAGAUUCGGCUUCCCAACACUCCAGAAGGACGUGGAGAACGGUCAGCCUCUCCCCGCAUCUACCACAGGUUGGAGGCUCGUUUCCGGUAUCUGUUGUCCACAGAGUUCUAAGCAAGGAUCUGGGAUAUCAGCCUCUCUUGUAAAAAGAACACAAGAACUUUUGUUAGGAUUGAUAUUAAAUUCAUUUUUGUCUGCCCACUUUGACACUUUGUUCAGGCCAUGCUGUACUUGUCUCUCGCACACUGCGAGGUUACAGUAUUUGAAAGCUAUUUGAAUGUCGUCCACGUAGACAGAAUAAAAGAUGGCCGGUGGUAAUGAAGCACGAAGCGUGUUCAUCUUUGCGAUAAAAAGCGUGCAGCUGAGCACGCCUCCUUGGGGUACACCCGUCUGUUGCGUAAAAGGACGUGAAAGUACAUUGCCGACUUUUACCCGGAAGGUAGGAUUGGACAGAUAGCUUUCUACUAGGUUUAUCAUUUUACCAUGAAUGCCCAUUUCUGACAAGUCUCUUAAUAUUCCGUAACGCCACGUUGUGUCAUACACCUUUUCCAUAUCGAGAAAUAUCGAUAAGAAGAACUGUUUAUGUAUAAAUGCGUCCCGGACAUUUCCUUCAACACGUACGAGAUGAUCGGUUGUGGAGCGCCCUUCUCGGAAGCCGCACUGGUAAGGAUCAAGCAUUUUGCUCAUUUCAAGGAAAUGGAUGAGUCGUCGAUUAAUCAUUUUUUCAAAUACCUUACAAAGGCAACUUGUGAGGGCGAUCGGGCGGUAACUUGCAACUGAGGAAGGAUCUUUGCCUAAUUGUUUCAAAACAGGAACCACAAUGGCUUCUUUCCAUGCAGUUGGAAGGUAUCCUGCAGCCCAAAUGUUGUUAAAAAUUGUGAGUAGUGUAACUUGGGUGUCAUUGUGUAGGUUUUUGAUCAUUUCAUACAUGAUCCUGUCAGAUCCCGGUGCAGAGCUCUUGCAUGAGCUCAAGGCAGCUCUCAACUUGGCAAUACUAAAAGGUCGGUUGUACGGUUCAUUCUGUGAACAUUUUCUUAUGAGGGGCUUACAUUCUUCUAUUUGUUUAUAUUUCAGAAAGGACUGCGAAUAAUGGUUUGAACUUGACACGCUCUCAAAGUGCUCCCCAAGAGAAACUGGCAGCUGAAGCCGAGUGGUGUCGCGAGAGCAGCGGGAACUGCAGGAUCGGCUUGUGACCACUGCCGGCGACCCAGCUGAGUCUGCUCAAGGCUGACUGAGAGCAGCUCAAUGCAGACUCGGCUUCCCGACACUCCAGGAGGGCGUGGAGGACGGUCAGCCUCUCCCCGCAUCUACCACAGGUUGGAGGAUCACUUCCAGGCACUAAAUAAGAAAAUGGAGGACUGUCAGACUAUUGCCGCACCUACUACAAGUCGGAGAAUCCCCACCAGUCAAGAGGUAAAAGUGAGUACUACAGAUCACGGAGGAUUCCAAAGCGCCAGGUUGUGUUGUAUGCCUUCUCCACAUCUAACAAAACUGACAAGAAAAGCUGCUUGUGGACAAAGACAUCACUGAUAUUUGUCUCGACGCGGACAAAGUGAUCUGUAGUGGAUCUAACCUCCCUGAAACCGCACUGUAAGGAAUUGAGUUCCUUGUGGCUGUUAAUAAAAUGGAUAAGGCGACGGUUAAUCAUUUUCUCAAAUAGUUCGCAUAGGCAACUUGUCAGAGCUAUAGGCCUUUAACUGUUGGGUGAGGAAGGGUCCUGGCCCUCUUUUCUGAGAAUACGAAUUGUCAUUGCUUCUUUCCAGGCAAACAGAAUGUAUCCGGCAGAGAACAUGGAGUUGAAGAGUGACAGUAGUUUUUUUUUUUUUUUUUGGGGGGGGGGGGGGCGUUUCGGGAUAUAAGUGUCUGAUCAUCUCAUACAUUAUUCUGUCACUUCCUGGAGCAGACUUGUUGCAACAGUUCAGUGAGGCCUGGAACUCGGCCAUUCUAAAUGGACGAUUGUAUACUUCAUUGGAUGUACCUUUCCAACCCAGAGUCAGCUGCUCUGCUUGUCGCUGGUAUUUCAGGAAUGUAUCUGUGUAAUGAGAUGUACUGGAAACGUGCUCGAAAUGUGCUCCUAGACAAUCCGCCUGGCACUCAAGAGUAUCUGCUUGUGUGUUUACUAAUGUAGAGGAUGAGUUUCACUGCCUUUUAUUUUGUUUACACUGUUCCAGGCUUUUCUUUUGUCUGUAUAAGAAUUUGCGCCGGAGAUGUAUUUUUGCAAAUUGUCUCUUUUGGCACGGCGGCGCGUUCUUCUACCUUAUGAUUUUCUUAAAGCUGAUAAGGUUUUCCGUAGUCGGAAAGUCACGGAGGUGAUUCCAAGCUUUACUUUGUUUCUUUCGCGUUUCCUUACAUUCAUCAUUCCACCAGGGAACACGUCGUUUAAUAGGCGGUGCAUUUGUUUGAGGGAUACAUAUUGACGCUACGUCGACAAUAAAUGCAGGUAAAUAUGACACUGCAUCGUCAAUACUAAGCGUACAAAUGUCAUCCCAGGUCAAAUAUGUCGGCUCUCUGUAUCGCUGCCAGGUCGCUGAUUCAACUUUCCACUGGGGCACAUGUGGAGAGCAUUCGUGCCAUUUUCUUAAUUUUAAAAGAAGCGGAAAAUGGUCACUCCCGUAUGGAUUUUUAUGCACUUUCCACUUCAAGUACUGCACGAGUGUACUUGAUGCAAUGGUUAAAUUGAUAGACGAAAAUGUUUUGUUUGCGACGCUGUAAAAAGUUGGUCUUCUUAUUUAGCAAACAAGCACAUGCACUUAAGAGGAAAUUUUCCAUCAGACGCCCUCUCGCAUCCCAUCGAGUCACCCCACAAGGUAUGAUGAGAAUUUAGGUCUCCAAUGACAAUGUAGCGCUCCGGAAGUUGUGCAAUAAAGCUUUCAAAUUCAGUUCUGGAGAGUUGACAGUUGGGUGGGAUGUAUAAAGAAGUAAUUGUCAGGGGCUUACUAAAAAGCACUGCUCUUACUGCAACUGCCUCAAGGGGCGUUUGCAGCUCUAAAUGCUAGCAGGUGAGACCCUUAUUGACUAUUAUGGUGACCCCACCCGAUGAGGUGAGAGCGUCGUUGCGGUAUAGAUGGAGUAUUGUCACAGAAAGUUUGUCUGUGUAGAAUUGAGGUGCGUCUUUUACAAACACAGCACUCUCGGACUAAAUUUGUGUUAGAGUUAAUUUAUGUCAUCCAGGUUGUAGAGUAGACCUCUGGCAUUCCCAUGUAUAAUUUGUGUAACCAUAUUGGAAGUGUUUUGUGCUGCGUGUCGAGAGAGGUAGGUUGAGUUACCUCACGAGGCCAGGCCCCGUAAUACGGGAUUUUCCUUUUUUUGCCGGCGCGCUCGACGGAACUACGCCGUUCCUUCGGCGUCUGGGACACUGGUGGAGUGUUGGUUGCAUCUAUCGCC